CAGCACCUCAAGUGGUCAGGAUGAUUAUUGGGCCUAAAGCAUCCGUAGCCUGCUUUGUUAGUAUUCGGUUAAAUCCAUACGCUCAACGUAUGGGCUGCCGGGAAUACUGCAAAGCUAGGGAGUGGGAGAGGUAGACGGUACUCGGUAGGAAGGGGUAAAAUCCUUUGAUCUAUUGAUGACCACCUGUGGCGAAGGCGGUCUACCAGAACACGUCCGACGGUGAGGGAUGAAAGCUGGGGGAGCAAACCGGAUUAGAGACCCGAGUAGUCC
rnacentral:rRNA from 1 species